UACGUAGGUGGCAAGCGUUGUCCGGAUUUACUGGGCGUAAAGAGCGCGCAGGCGGUCCUUUAAGUCUGAUGUGAAAGCCCACGGCUCAACCGUGGAGGGUCAUUGGAAAACUGGGGGGACUUGAGUACAGAAGAGAAGAGUGGAAUUCCACGUGUAGCGGUGAAAUGCGUAGAGAUGUGGAGGAACACCAGUGGCGAAGGCGACUCUUUGGUCUGUAACUGACGCUGAGGCGCGAAAGCGUGGGGAGCAAACAGG
rnacentral:rRNA from 1 species